rnacentral:misc_RNA from 1 species
GAUGAAGAACGUAGCGAAAUGCGAUAAGUAAUGUGAAUUGCAGAAUUCAGUGAAUCAUCGAAUCUUUGAACGCACAGUGCGCCCGCCAGUAUUCUGGCGGGCAUGCCUGUUCGAGCGUCAUUUCAACCAUCAAGCCCCAGGCUUGUGUUGGAGCCCUGCGGCUGCCGCAGCCUCCCAAAACCAGUGGCGGGCUCGCUAUCACACCGAGUGCAGUAGUUUACUCUUCGCUCAGGGCGUGUGGCGGGUGCUAGCCGUAAAACCCCCAACUUCUCAAGGUUGACCUCGGAUCAGGUAGGAAUACCCGCUGAACUUAAGCAUAUCAAUAAGCGGAGGA